rnacentral:rRNA from 1 species
UACGUAGGGUGCGAGCGUUACUCGGAAUUACUGGGCGUAAAGCGUACGCAGGCGGUUUGUUAAGUCUGAUGUGAAAGCCCCGGGCUCAACCUGGGAACUGCAUUGGAAACUGGCAAGCUCGAGUAUGGCAGAGGGGGGUGGAAUUCCGCGUGUAGCAGUGAAAUGCGUAGAGAUGCGGAGGAACACCGAUGGCGAAGGCAGCCCCCUGGGCCAAUACUGACGCUCAGGCACGAAAGCGUGGGGAGCAAACAGG